ACCCAAGAUGGCGGCGGCGGCCGGUUCCGGGGGCCCCGGGGCGCCGUGCGGGGCUGCGGGCAGGGCGCUGCCCUGAGCCGGGCGGGCCGGCGGCGAGCAUGGCGGCGGGCGGCGGCUCGCCGAGCAUCGUGGAGUACUUCGGCGGGGAGGGCGGCUACCGCUGCGGCUACUGCAAGAACGAGACCGGCAACCUCUCCCACGGUAUGUGGGCACAUUCAAUGACAGUUCAAGACUACCAGGAUCUCAUAGAUAGAGGAUGGCGAAGAAGUGGAAAAUAUGUCUACAAACCUAUCAUGAAUCAGACGUGUUGUCCUCAGUAUACAAUAAGAUGCCAGGCGUUGCGUUUUCAGACUUCCAAAUCUCACAAGAAAGUUCUGAAGAAAAUGUUGAAAUUUAUUUCCAAAGGAGAUGUUUCGAAAGUGGUGAGUGAAGAAGAGCCUAUGGAUUCCCAUAUAGAGGAUGUAGUCCCGAGCGAUUUUGCAUAUAAAAGCGAAUCUCAGGUCAGCCAGACUGAACUGACUCCCUUGAAUGAGGAUCACGCAGAGGGAGUGGAGAAUGAAGAUAAGGACAACGCUGAAACGAAAGAAGAAACGAAUGUGAAGAAGGUGGAGUCGGGUUCUCUUCAGAUACCUGUGGAUAAAGAUGCAGCAGGCCCUGGAGAACCAUCCCAUUCUUCUAAAACUGUUCAUGCACCGCCCAAGCCAGGCAAAGGGGCUGAUCUGAGCAAGCCGCCGUGUCGAAAAGCAAAGGACAUACGGAAAGAAAGAAAACUGCAGAAACUCCUUCAGAACCAGAUGGGCACACUUGAAGGCUCUCCACUUCAAGCAGGGCAUCAAGCUCUCCUCUCACAAAACUCUAAGACUCCAACAAACCAACCCAAAUCUAUUGAAGACUUCAUUUUUGUCUCUUUGCCUGAUGAUGCACCACACAAAUUGGAGGUGAGGGUGGUGAGAUCAUCUCCACCAAGUUCACAGUUCAAAGCCACAUUUCAGGAGUCUUACCAGGUCUAUAAACGUUACCAGAUGGUUAUUCACAAGGACCCACCUGAUAAACCAACUAUAAAUCAGGUGAGGUUAGUACCUGUCUCCUUUGAGGACCCACAGUUCAAAUCAUCCUUCAACCAGUCAGCCACUUUAUUUGCCAAGUAUCAGAUGGCUAUACACAAGGAUACACCUUCUGAAUGUGGCGAAAAUGAGUUCACACGAUUCCUCUGUGAUUCUCCUCUUGAGGCAGAGAAUCCCCCAAAUGGACCAGAGUGCGGCUAUGGUUCUUUUCACCAGCAGUAUUGGCUAGAUGGGAAGAUAAUUGCUGUGGGUGUAAUUGAUAUCCUGCCCUACUGCGUGUCCUCUGUCUAUCUGUACUACGAUCCAGACUAUUCCUUCUUAUCUCUGGGAGUCUACUCUGCAUUACGGGAAAUUGCGUUUACUAGGAAACUUCAUGAAAAAGCUCCUGAUCUCUGUUUUUAUUAUAUGGGUUUCUACAUUCAUUCAUGCCCCAAAAUGAGAUACAAGAUCAUCUAGGUCACGUCGUGUGCUCUGAGGAGGUCCAAGCCAUCCACAUAAUAUUUUGCUGAAGUAUUCUGCUUUCAGUUUUCAUGCAAUUCCUCCUAAAAUGCCAUCUAUAUGUUUAUCCAAGAACGUUUCUUUGAGCAGCCAUCUUCCAGUACGGCCACAGCUUUACACCAGUUGCCUUGCGCAGGGCACAGCUGCCAAGAGGUUUAUCCAGUGCUGAGCGAGUCGGGCUGAAUUCACAGGCAGUGUGUUUUUGGUGGUCAGUGUGUCACAUUUUCAUCUCCACAAUUCUAUUUCUACAAAUGGUGCAAUUUAUAGUGUAAAUAAAGUGUUUUGCCCAUUGAAGAUCAGAAGCAUGAAUGUCCUGGAAGAGGAUCCUCGAGGCAGUGUUCCUGUGGGUCAGGAAUAGAGUUGAAGAAUCCGGUGUUCUCAGGUAGCAAGCUGAUGGGUAAAGAACGUCAUCCGUCCCAUGCAACAGAUCUGUAAUUACACAAGUUCUUAAAAGGGAACUUUAUUUCUUGACUCCUUCCUCCCUUCCCUUUCCUUUUGUUUCCAAACAGCUCACAUUUGAUUGCAAUGUGAUUAUUGAAACGGUGGAGUACCAGGGAAGUCACCAAAGAUGGGGAAGGGAAUAUGUAGUAAUCUUAAACUAUUUUUCAGUUCUCAGCUCUUAGACUUGUUCCCAUGUAUGGGUUAAUAUUUAUGAGCUGGUAAAAUAAAACCUACAUUAAAUUUAGACAAAAGGAUUUCUGUAGUUCUAUUAACUAUAUUAAUACGGAAAAAUGUUAUGAAAAACAUGAAGCAAUGGCUUUUUUCCAUUUUUUCAGGGUAGAAUAGGGUAAUACAAGAUUAAAAUGGUUCUCUGUAGAAAUUCAUGACCUUGUGGUAAAACUUUUCAGGCUCUGUUAGAUGUGGUAGUUCUUAUGUUGGAAAAAUAGUCUGGAAAAUUUUCCAACACUCAUAAGAUGCAAAGUCUUUCCUAAUGCAUUUUGGAGCCAGUGAUAAAAGUCUAAGUACAAGAAGGUAUUUUAUUUUAGAAUGAUGUUGGUCUCAGGCUCGCUUCUCAUGUAUUUAAGUACUGUAUCUGUAAUUGUAAAUGCAUUUUCUGUUGAAGACAUUCGUUUACAAACAUAUUUAUGGAAUUUCAGAAAUAAACCAGCUUUAGUGAACACCUACAUCAGAAGGAUACUUGAGAGAUCUUAGAUUUUUUUUUUUUCCUGUGCCGAACUCCUGUCCAUUUUAUCCUGCAAGAAUUUUAUUCUGUGGCUCCAUGUUAUUAAAUUUGCAUUUUCCAGUCGCUACUGAGCUCUUUGAGAUCCUAAUCUACUCUUUUUUGUUAUUUCCAUUACAUGUCUUUGAUAGUGAUUUUGAGUAGGGUAGUGCUUGAUGCUAAGUAGAUUUUGGUUUUGUGCUCCUGGUCUAAAUAGUCAGUGUACUUGCUGCCUUUGCCAUUUAGCUCCCUGCUGACCUUAAAUCAUGUUCUGCUCUACGUUCUUGUGUUGGGAAGGGGGUGUUGGUGAAGUUUGCUACGUGACUUUCCUUAUUUCUGUGGUGUGGUUUUUUGUUGUUCUUAGGUCUUUUGGUUUGGUGUUUUUUUGGUUUUCUUUUUUUGAGGCUUUUUCACUGUCAAUAAUUGGAUGCAAAUAUUGCAAUUGGAGCACAUAUUGUCGCUGGGCUUGGCCAGUCAUCUGCUUUCCCUGACACCACUCCACAACGUCAGUAAAUAACAUCAGCCUACUUUGAAGUGCGCGACAGAUCUGGUUCCUCUGGCUGCGCUAUCUCCAUGUGCCAUUUGAAGACCAUUCUAUGAUUUGAAGAGGUGUUUUGACUGAAAUCUUUAUCCAGACUUGUAUGCAGGCCAAAGUAAAUGGAAUUAUUUCAAACAGUCUACUUCAGUAUCAAGGCAUGGCCAGACUUCAGAUAGAUGGAAUACUAGAAAGGGUUCUGAAAUGUCAAAAAGAAACAAAAGGCUGAUUCAUCUGUGAUUAAUCUUCCUUAAACUAAAUACCUCAGGCUGACUGCGGUCGUAAGCGGUGCCCCUGGAAUUUUAUAGAACUCCGGAGCCAAUUUCUUUGGCUGAUUUUAGGAAUUUCAGCAUUGCUCCUCCUGCAGCAGUGAAACACAGUAGUAGCCUGCAACUCCACAUCCACAGGAUCUGGGAUGGUCUGCCUCAUGCUCGGUUCUCCGGACUUCUUCACUGUUCCUGGUCAUGGAAUUCAGUUUACCUUUUCAAAAAGCUUGGAUUUACUGUGGUCAGUACAGGCCCUCUGACUUGUUGUGCCCGGAAACGUACGUCUGGACGCCCAUUGAGCAAUGUCUCCCCCUGCUCGAGCUUUCCAAAUACUCUCGUUUCAACCAGGACGCAAAAGCAG